ACAAACCCUACUCAAACCAGUUACUGGUUCAAAUGUCAGAAAGCUUCCACCUUUCCAGUUUCCUCAAACAGUUUCUCAUUCAAAUUCAAAUUCACUAUUUCCCCAAUCCAGAUCUGGAAAACAAAUUCCAUAACCCAGAGAGAGAGCCGAUGGAAACGCCCUUGAUUCAACCGAUCUUCAUAUAUAAGUUUUUGACCGAUUAUGGUUUUUCGAUUCGUCGUCUGUAGAGAUGAAGAUCGUCUUCUUCAGGUGUUUACAACGAUCUCGGAGCUCCAGAUCUGAGCAUAAGUUUAUCACGGCCGGUGCUCGGCGGCGAGCAACAUCCGUACCCUAGGCGGUGCCGUACUGGUCGCCCGAUGUCCACCAAAGAUCUGUAUAUGGAGAAAAAGCAAUGACAACUUUGGAAAGAACAAAUGAAGUAGCUGGAAAUUAUGGUCAAAGAUGCAAGAAACGCAGGGCUGGCAGAAAAAGUUUCUAAGAUUCGGUACAGUUUCACCAAAUUUUGACCCACUGAUGUCACCGUGUCGUACAGAUCCGGAGUUAGAUUCGGUUGAACAGCGGCGGUGACAAAUGAAGUUAAGCUUGUAAGUGAUGUUCAUCAUGGAUUAAAUUUUGUUGCAUGAGGAUAUUCAUUUAGAAACAAUUGCAUGAGGAAUAAAUUUAUUUUUAUUUUUCCUACCCGGGAAGUUCCCGGGUUAUAAGCUCCUCUCUGGAAGAUGAGGAACCCCAAACCCUUUUCAGCUUGUGGGAAAUAUUGUUGGGAAACUUGGCUUUGAAGUAAGGAGAUGUCUUAGCAUGUAUUUGACCACAGUUGACUAAUAUUUUCAUUUUGAAAAUUCGUCAUCAGCCUUGCGAUAAACUCUCUUGCACCAUCAGAUGCGGCUACAAGGAUAUCAAGAGGUGAUGAAAUGGCAACCUACUAAGAUUUUUUUCCCUGAGCUGAUCAACACACAUAACAUUACAAGUAUCUGGAAGACACUGGCUGAAAUAUGAUGCACAAGGGAAGAUUCUUUCAAAUGGAACUCUUCAAGUGUGUGUGUGUGUGUGUGCGCGCGUGCGCGCGCGCGCGCGUACGUACGUAUUAUGUAUUAUUAUUAUUAUUAUUAUUUUGUUGAUGAAAAUUUCCGAACGAAUGGCAGCUGAAUGUCACCAGAUUCCAGGGAUGAUGAAACUGUUGCGGUCAUAUAUUUUAGAGUUGGAUGCGCGCCCACAAGAUUUCACACCUCUAUGCUAAACACUUGAUUUCUUCUAGCAGAGUUUCAAUGGAGUUUGUUUCAAAGACGGAGAUCCGCCACAUGUCUCGGAUAUGGAAGUAUCGGAUUCAAUGCAGUCCUGAACGCACAAAGGUCUGGAUCGAGCCUAACAAACGCCGUAGAGUCGUCGUUGUUUACCACCUCAAAGAGAGAAGAACAAAGGCACCAGAAGUGCAUUAAAUGCGCCUCGCUACAAAAACUCGCCUACGCGCAAAAAGCUCUCGAUUUUAAUAACUAUGGUUUUGGUUGUGGUUCAACAUGGAGAAAGGAACAUGUAUGAUCAACAUUGGUUUACUGCAACCCUCAAGGAAAAAUAUCCUUUUGACCUUAUAAUAUAUUUUUUUAUUCUUAAUUUAAACUGCUUGACGUCAAAACAUUAUUAUUUUAAAUUACU
rnacentral:lncRNA from 1 species